GACGAACGCUGGCGGCGUGCUUAACACAUGCAAGUCGAACGGAAAGGCCCUGCUUUUGUGGGGUGCUCGAGUGGCGAACGGGUGAGUAACACGUGAGUAACCUGCCCUUGACUUUGGGAUAACUUCAGGAAACUGGGGCUAAUAUCGGAUAGGAGCUCCUGCUGCAUGGUGGGGGUUGGAAAGUUUCGGCGGUUGGGGAUGGACUCGCGGCUUAUCAGCUUGUUGGUGGGGUAGUGGCUUACCAAGGCUUUGACGGGUAACCGGCCUGAGAGGGUGACCGGCCACAUUGGGACUGAGAUACGGCCCAGACUCCUACGGGAGGCAGCAGUGGGGAAUAUUGCACAAUGGGCGGAAGCCUGAUGCAGCAACGCCGCGUGCGGGAUGACGGCCUUCGGGUUGUAAACCGCUUUCGCCUGUGACGAAGCGUGAGUGACGGUAAUGGGUAAAGAAGCACCGGCUAACUACGUG
rnacentral:rRNA from 1 species